rnacentral:rRNA from 1 species
GACAGAGGAUGCAAGCGUUAUCCGGAAUGAUUGGGCGUAAAGAGUUGCGUAGGUGGUUUGUUAAGCGAGCAGUGAAAUCUUGGGGCUCAACCUCAAGGCUAUUGCUUGAACUGGCAGACUAGAGUUUGGUAGAGGUAACUGGAAUUCCAAGUGUAGGAGUGAAAUCCGUAGAUAUUUGGAGGAACACCAAUGGCGUAGGCAGGUUACUGGCCCAACACUGACACUGAGGCACGAAAGCGUGGGUAGCAAACGGG